AAUUAGGUUUCUGAGUGGACGUCCAACUUGUUGAUUCCCAGCACCGGAAUCUGAGCAACCCACUGCACUGGCUAAAACAGCAGCUUUAAGAUUGUGGUGAUUUUCUGCCUGGGAAUCUCCAGUCUGGCUUUCUUCUUGAGUCCAUAAUAAGCGGCUCUGCGUUC